UGCAGGUCUUACGGCUCACUGCGGCGUC
rnacentral:piRNA from 1 species